UUUCUACCAUCUCGUAGCGACCCCUCCCCUCCCCUCCCCCUUCACUCACUCAGCACUUACUCAGCGGACCCUUAGCCUUAUUCCUUUCGCGUGCCCCCUCCUCUUCCUCCCUCCCGCUUUUCGUGGCGACGCUGAGUGGCCUAAGGUCGAACACCCACACUUUUCCCCACUUCGCACACACAAGCACACACCAGCAUGUUCCGCAGGAACAUAGCGCACCUGGCGUCCUACGACGUGACGGUGAUCGGCGGUGGCCCUGGCGGGUACGUGGCAGCCAUCAAGGCCGCCCAGCUCGGCCUCAAGACCGCUUGCAUCGAGAAGCGCGGUGCUCUUGGCGGCACCUGCCUGAAUGUCGGCUGCAUCCCGUCAAAGGCGCUGCUGCACGCGACGCACCUGUACCACGACGCCCACGCCAACUUUGCCCAGUAUGGCCUGCGCGGCGGGGAGAACGUGACGAUGGAUGUGUCUGCGAUGCAGGCGCAGAAGGCGAAGGGGGUGAAGGCGCUGACGGGCGGCGUCGAGUACCUCUUCAAGAAGAACAAGGUCACGUACUACAAGGGCGAGGGCAGCUUCGUGAACCCCAACACGAUCAAGGUGAAAGGUCUCGACGGCAAGGACGAGACGCUCGAGUCGAAGAAGACGAUUGUGGCCACUGGGAGCGAGCCGACGGAGCUGCCGUUCCUGCCCUUCGACGAGAAGGUUGUGAUGUCCUCCACCGGCGCCCUCGACCUUGACCACGUGCCCAAGAAGAUGAUCGUGGUUGGCGGCGGCGUGAUUGGGCUGGAGCUUGGUAGCGUGUGGGCCCGCCUCGGUGCUGAGGUGACCGUCGUGGAGUUUGCCUCUCGCUGCGCCGCCAACACCGACGCCGACGUGUCCAAGGCGCUCACGGAUGCGCUGGUGAAGCACGAAAAGAUAAAAAUUAUGACCAACACAAAGGUCGUUAGCGGGACGAACAACGGUAGCAGCGUGACGAUCGAGGUGGAGGACAAGGAUGGAAAGCAUCAGACGCUCGAGGCGGACGCGCUGCUGUGCUCCGUGGGCCGCCGCCCGCACACGACUGGGCUGAACGCCGAGGCCAUCAACCUCCAGAUGGAGCGCGGCUUUAUCUGCAUCAACGACCACUUCGAGACGAACGUGCCAAACGUAUACGCGAUCGGCGAUGUCGUGAACAAGGGCCCAAUGCUAGCGCACAAGGCCGAGGAGGAAGGCGUCGCGUGCGCGGAGAUGCUGGCUGGCAAGCCCGGGCACGUGAACUACAACGUCAUCCCCGGCGUCAUCUACACCAACCCUGAGGUCGCGCAGGUGGGCGAGACGGAAGAGCAGGUGAAGAAGAGGGGCAUCGACUACAAGGUUGGCAAGUUCCCCUUCAGCGCCAACUCGCGCGCCAAGGCUGUCGGCACCGAGGAUGGCUUCGUGAAGGUGGUGACGGACAAGAAGACGGACCGAAUCCUUGGCGUUCAGAUUGUGUGCACGGCUGCUGGCGAGAUGAUCGCGGAGCCGACGCUGGCGAUGGAGUACGGCGCGAGCUCCGAGGACUUGGGCCGCACCUGCCACGCUCACCCAACAAUGUCCGAGGCGGUGAAGGAGGCGUGCAUGGCGUGUUUUGCGCAGACGAUCAACUUCUAAGCGGGUAGGAAAUGUGUGCGCUUGCGCGAGUGAGGGAGGCAGAGGUGCAGGGCGGCGCUGGCGGAUGUGAGCACGCAGACUUGCACGUACAAACACACGCCGCUGAGCUCCUUUCGCGCCGUCGACUUUGUCUUCCACCACGACCACCUACCAACUCUAUCGCUCUCCAAAGAGCACACAUAAACACACUCACAUGCGUAGCGGUGUGUGCCGAGGUGGGGUGGUGGCGAAAGAGGGCGCUUCACACAGACAACUUCUUCCAGGGAUAUGCACCUCGUAGGGCACUGAGCCAGCGGUACAAACUCGACACCUUGUUGUCGCUUGGAGAGGGUCGGAGUGCGAUGGCCCCUCAGGGAGUGGGCGAGCGCCGUCGCCCUCUGUCUGCCGUGUGUCUCUGAGCCCCCGCCCUCCCUUACCACCAAAAGUUUUGGCUUCCUCCCGGGGGUUUUCCUUUGUUUGACUUCCUUUACGUUUUCCGUCUGAUUUUUUUAUAUUGUUCCUUUUUUUUUUCGUGUGGGCUCGUGUGUGUGCGUGUGUGUAUGUAUGUGGAUGUGUGCCGCCGCCUCGUGUGUGCACGCACGUUGGCGAGCAAGUCUUCGCUCACCAAGAACAGGGAGGGGAUACAUCCAAUCAACCCGAGUACGAAGAGGUACCCUACCAAUGAAGAUAGCCGGGUGGGGAGAGACGAAGCCGCUAGAGAAAUAGUGGAGGCGAUGUGGGAGCAGAGCGCAACGCACUCUGCCUGUCUCCCUUGAUCCCGGUUCUCUGGAUGCUAUGCGCGUCCGCCCCCCUCUUGCACAGUCACUCUCUCACUCUCCGCUGCCUUUUGUGGUAUUUGGCCGUUUGGCCCUCUUUUGUGUCUGUCUGUUGCGUAGUAGUCUGGGUGCUGCAACGUCGAGAUGCGUGUGUAUGCAUGCACGCCUCUCUUUCUGUCUGCGUGACGUUUAAGAUAGAGGUAGAGGGGGUAGGUGAAACGGGACGAUGACAGAGAGGCAGAGAGCGUGAAGAGGAGAGAGGGAUGCUGGCUCGAGGUAGCGAGUGUUGGUAGGUAUAUCUGAACGAGUGGGUGCGCGAUGUGGAGAGUGUAAUGCGACGCAACUUUAGUGUUUUAUCGCAAACAUGAAUGUGAAGGGAGAGGGAGAGCGGGGUGCGGUGCUCAACCACUGCCACCUCGAUCAGCCUUUCUUCGCUUCAUGGUGGGGAUGGCUUUGGCACACGAGAGAGCAGUAAAACGAAGGAGAGGGGUGCCGAGAAGGUGUCGGACGUUUUAGAUCUUAAGCAUGACCGAAAAGGGUACAGCGGUUGUCAUAGUCGCCCGCGUGGCUCUUUAGUGGAUGUCCCAGCGUGUGUGCGAGUUUGCGCGUAGGGAGCGGGAUCUUCUCUCUGCUCUCGUCGUGUGCUGUGCACAGCAAGAAACACUGCUAUGGCGCACGCACUCGCACGCAUGGCGCUUGGCCCCCCAUGCUCUCCACUCCGCCGUCGAUCCUUGCCCCAUUCACACCCGAAACACAAUCUCGACGCACCAGCCCCUCGCCCUCUCUCUGCUUGCCCUUCCACCGAACGGACGUCAUGCCAACAGGCGUCAUGGUAGCUACAGUUUUGAAGCAUCACUAUCUAAAAGCAAGGAGAGCAUAACAGAAAGCAAAAAAAAAGGAGUGCGCAGUUAUGUGUGCUUCCGUGCCACGGCGCUCUUGGAUGAGGUAGGGCAGUGCCACCUCAGCCCUGCGUGGGAGCGGCUGUAUAAAACGAC
rnacentral:misc_RNA from 1 species